CUCAGAAGCUCACCAAUCACAACAGGAACUUCAGACUUUGGUAACUCACAUGUGCUGAGUGAUCAUUUAGAAGAUAUCUGUGGUUGUUUAUAACAAAACUAUCUCUUUCUUCAUGUCUUUAGUGGUGCUCUAUGAAAGGGAGUAUAGACACACUGCACCAAGGAUAUGUUAUCAUCUCAUCAUAUUUUCAUGCCGUUAGCAGGACCUUUUACAUAGCACAGUAAAGGGAUGGAUUACAUUUCUAUAAUAAGAGAGUGAGUAUGCUAAUAAAUCAGGAAAGAAUGACAUUAAAGC